rnacentral:misc_RNA from 1 species
UCCGAGUUGACCCCGGCAGUCUCCUACGAGUCCCCGGCAUUAUCCGCUGGCAACAUAGAAUAAGGGUUGCGCUCGUUGCGGGACUUAACCCAACAUCUCACGACACGAGCUGACGACAGCCAUGCAGCACCUGUGUUCCGGUUCUCUUGCGAGCACUCCCCAAUCUCUUAGGGAUUCCAGACAUGUCAAGGGUAGGUAAGGUUUUUCGCGUUGCAUCGAAUUAAUCCACAUCAUCCACCGCUUGUGCGGGUCCCCGUCAAUUCCUUUGAGUUUUAAUCUUGCGACCGUACUCCCCAGGCGGUCAACUUCACGCGUUAGCUGCGUUACCGAAGGAGUUACCCUCCGACAACUAGUCGACAUCGUUUAGGGCGUGGACUAC